UAAGGUGAAGCUUAAUAUAGCGUUUAACUGUUAAUUAAAAGAAGCACAAAGUGCCGCCUUAA
rnacentral:tRNA from 1 species